UACGGAGGGUGCAAGCGUUAAUCGGAAUUACUGGGCGUAAAGCGCACGCAGGCGGUCUGUCAAGUCGGAUGUGAAAUCCCCGGGCUCAACCUGGGAACUGCAUUCGAAACUGGCAGGCUAGAGUCUUGUAGAGGGGGGUAGAAUUCCAGGUGUAGCGGUGAAAUGCGUAGAGAUCUGGAGGAAUACCGGUGGCGAAGGCGGCCCCCUGGACAAAGACUGACGCUCAGGUGCGAAAGCGUGGGGAGCAAACAGGAUUAG
rnacentral:rRNA from 1 species